rnacentral:rRNA from 1 species
UACAGAGGUCCCAAGCGUUGUUCGGAUUCACUGGGCGUAAAGGGUGCGUAGGUGGUCGGGUAAGUCUGAUGUGAAAUCUCCGGGCCUAACCCGGAAACUGCAUCGGAUACUAUUCGGCUAGAGGGUUGGAGGGGGGACUGGAAUACUUGGUGUAGCAGUGAAAUGCGUAGAUAUCAAGUGGAACACCAGUGGCGAAGGCGAGUCUCUGGACAUUUCCUGACGCUGAGGCACGAAAGCCAGGGGAGCAAACGGG